rnacentral:rRNA from 1 species
AGUUGCCAGCAUUCAGUUGGGCACUCUAAGGUGACUGCCGGCUAAAAGUCGGAGGAAGGUGGGGAUGACGUCAAAUCAUCAUGCCCCUUAUGACCUGGGCUACACACGUGCUACAAUGGGCGGUACAAAGGGUCGCGAACCCGCGAGGGGGAGCCAAUCCCAAAAAAGCCGCUCUCAGUUCGGAUUGCAGGCUGCAACUCGCCUGCAUGAAGCCGGAAUCGCUAGUAAUCGCGGAUCAGCAUGCCGCGGUGAAUACGUUCCCGGGCCUU